AAGAGUUACAGAGGAGGUGGUGAUGGUGGCAUUAUUUUUCACAGCAUCACGGAGGGCUUACACAUGUCUUAGAUUCUCGCUGCCACUUGUCGAAGAAAUCGGAGAAAGAGCUGGGAUAAUCUAAAGGAUUUUCUUUCUCGCGAAUGGGAUUUUGGACGAACCACCUUCUGAAGUUCGUGCGUUGUAUACCAUUAUACCCGGGCGAUUUCGUUUUCGAGUUUUCAACAGCCCUUCUUUGGACAGCGAAAAGUAAGGUUAAGAUCACGAGAGGCUGUCAUUUAUACCUACGCUCGCUAGCUACAUCUGAAGUCUUUCACCCGCAGACGUAGAAGUUCGUUUGACCCCCAACGUCAGGUCCCAUCGCCACAAGCUCCGCCGCAAGUUUCCCCAAUCCCUCACACUCCCAUCGCCAGCGUCAUCGCAGUGAUUAACACAUAUCGAAGAAGAUGAAGUGUAUCUACCAGGCUGUGUUAGCUUUCCUGGCCGUCCUCGUAUGCGUGGCGUGGACGUGUCAAGCCUACGGACUCGACCAGGACGAGUACAGGAGAGGCGUGGCGGCACAGAAUGCACUCGAUGAACAGGAGAUAUACGAAAUCAUUGAAAGUCUAGAACAUGCUAUGUCAAAAAGAGGAUCAGUAAAACAUCUUGGCCUUGCUAAUGUUGACAACUGGAGAAUGAUGAAGAAUGUUAACAGGCUGAGGAAUCUCCUGAACAGUGGCAAGCGAUCAGACCAGCAGAUGGAGUCCUAAUAAAGCAGAUCGCUACACCAUCGACACCUUUUUACAGCAAAGACUAAAUACAUUCCUGACCUUUUCGUUCGAUCCGUCUGCCAUAUUUCAUUAGAUCCCUGGCUUCGAAAUUAUUCCUCUUCCCUCCCAAUUCCAUUAUCCAUUAUAUUUAAUGAUCCACGGUGGAAAAAUCAUCCGGAUAUAAGGAAGAGGUGAUGUUCAUACUAAUGACUUACAGUGAGCAGCUAACGCCUACGACUGAAUCAAUUAUUCCAGCAUAGCACGAUACAAAGCAUGUUUGAAUUUCUCAAAAUAAUGUAGAAGUAUACUUUUAUAGUUUUCAUAGAAUAUUUUUUGAAUAUUCAACGGCUUCAGUUGAUAGGAGUCUAAGUGCACAAUUUAGCUGCAGUUUUGAUACUUUUUUGUCCUUUUUCUUCAUUGUAUGAAAUGAAACAAAAUAACUGAAUACUAGAAAGUAGAAUAUUUGUAAUCUAGGUGAUUUUUAUUUUUAAUAAAAGCUGCAUCAUCUCUGUUGGCUUACUCUGAUUGUAAUAAUAUUUAACAGAUACAUACCGUCCUGGGAUAGAUCGAUGAAAGAUAAGGGUAUGUUUGCUUCGUUCGGACAAACAUGUUACUUUUAUAGACAUUUUAGACAACCGUAUGGAAUUCACACAAUUAUACAUAAUUAUUCUAGAGGCAGGCACCCCGAAUGUUUAUAUUAAUGAAUAAGUACUAGAUGGUAUGUAUAUAUUCAAAUGCAAAUAAGCUGUAUAUGAAAGAUUGCUAUUUGUGAAUAUAACAUGAAGUUUAAAAAAGUGUAAUUAGUCUGACAAUUUGGUACAUAAAUCUAAUAAACCUUUGCUAGAGGUAUGGUCCCUUUCAAUAACACAGAUUUGCUAUGAUGAUAUAAUAUGUUGCUAUUCUAGGUUUUCCUCACUUGUCUUAAUCUCAUGUUCUAUGUUUGGAAAUAACAAUAAUAUAAUAAUAAAUACACCAAAACAAAAUUUUUGAAGAUCUUUACUUUCUCAUCGAAUUGAUGUUCAAUCAAUAGCAGUGUUAUAUCAAACAUGAAACAUAAAAUAAUGCAACUAUAACAGAAAGAUCCUAAAUUAAGGAUCCUGAAGUUAACCGAUUAAAUUGACAAAUGUUACACAUGGUUUUAUUUUUCAUACUCUGUGAACAUUUAUAAGUCUUGUGAUAGGCCAGUGCGCCGAACGUUAUUAUAUGUCAGUACUUUCAUUUCAUUAUCAAAACAAAUAAAGCAUUUUUUGCGUGAUAGAAGCAUAUUGAAUAGAUGGAGGCUGUUAAGUUAAAAUGAUAUAAGAGUGCCUACUGUAAAAAAAAUGACAAUUGAGAAUUUUCUUUGAUAUUUUGGUCAACAAUAAAUUAUCCCUUUUAAUGCAAAGACAAAUAAAAAGAGCUCGGAACAAUUAAUAAAUUACUGUAUAUUAUUAA
rnacentral:lncRNA from 1 species